rnacentral:lncRNA from 1 species
CAGCGAGCGAUUGCGGCCGGCCGCACCGAUUCAGAGUUGAGACGAAUCAAAAGGGCGGCGUAGCAUCGUGGUGCAGAGCGUUGAAUGGCGUUGGGCCGUCGUAUCGUCGACAUCUGUUUAAACUUCUGCAGAGGUUUAAUCAUUCACCUUUUCAAGAUGCUCCUUCUGCGGUUGGUCGGUUGGUUGUUAUGAGGCAAAUGAGAUGUUUUAAUCUUUGUCGUCUGAUUUGUGGUGGUUAGGGUGUUGUUGUUCUUGGGGUUUUCCCCCAUUUCAUCAAAGAAAGAAAAUCAAUCUUUGUCUGAGUUUGUCAUCUCAUGUUUUGCAAUAAGUGGGUGAGCAGCUAGGGAAUGAAAUUAUGUAACCUUUGAAAGACUAGAAAGACUAAAAUUUCAACUCCUUCCAAGUCGAGGAGAGGGCAUUAGGAUUUAACAUCAACAACCAAUAAGAUGUGACAAUUGAUGAAUACAAGCUAUCUCAGUUUAUAAUAGCAUGCCACAAAUUGAAGUUCCUUACAUCACUAUUUUAGAUCAGUCUCAAUUCCUUCACAAUUUCUUCGGUCACUGUUGAAUGUAAUCCCCUUCUUCUGGCCGGUGGACAUGUCCUCCUCAGAGACGCUUAGAAUCCCAUUUUCAUCAAUGUCAAAGCAUGUUUCAAAUUUAGGAACACCUUGGGGAGCUGGAGGAAUGUCAUUAAGGUAAAAUUCACCUAAAAAGUUAUUAUUUUUAGCAGUUGUACUCUCACCCUCAUAAACGCGAAAGGGGACAGAAGAUUGGUUGUCCUGGGAAGUAACUAAUACCACCUUCUUCAUGACAGGAAUUCUGGUGUUUCUUGGAAUCACAACUGUCAUAAAAUCUCUCUCACCCGCAGAGAGUGAAGUCGCUACCCCAAGUGACACAGGGGUGACAUCUAAGAGUCUCAAGUCUUGAAGCAUCCCAGUUGGAUUCCCACCACUCAAGACUGCAGCUUCAACAGCGGCACCGUAUGCGAUAGCCUCGUCAGGAUUAAUGCCCUUGCACAGCUCCUUCCCUUUGAACACCUCCUGCAAAAGCUGUUGCACCUUGGGGAUCCUAGAAGAGCCACCGGCAAGGACAACAUCAUCGAUUCUGCUUAUGCCCAUAUUUGCAUCCUUCAAACACCUUUCAACAGGCUGCAUGCAUUUUUCAAAGAAAUCCAUGUUGAGUUGCUCGAAUUUGGCACGUGUAAUAGUCAAGUAGAAAUCAAUACCCUGAUUCAAACAAUCAAUGUCAAUGUCAGUCUCAGACAUAAAUGAAAGCCUCCUCUUCGCCUUCUCACAGGCAUUUCUUAACCUCGCAAGAGCCCUUGGGUUUCCACCAAUGUCUACAUUAUGCUUCCUCUUGAAUUGCUCAACACAAUAAUUCACCAUUCUGUUAUCAAAGUCACCACCUCCUAGAUGAGUGUCUCCAGAAGUGGCCCUCACUUCAAAGGCACUAUCAGCUAUGGUAAGAAGUGAAACAUCCAAAGUACCACCACCAAAAUCAAAUAUCAUCACAUUUCUCUUGCUAUACCAACCGGACUUCCUGUCAAGCCCGUAAGCAAUGGCUGCAGCAGUCGGCUCAUUAAUGAUACGCAUCACAUUUAGGCCAGCAGUAGCACCUGCAUUUUUCGUAGCCUGUCGCUGACAGUCGUUAAAGUAGGCAGGGACGGUGAUAACUGCAUUUUUCACCGUUGAACCGAGGUAGGCCUCAGCAAUCUCCCGCAUCUUUACAAGAACCAUAGAUGAGAUUUCUUCAGCAGCAAAUUGUUUCUCCACGCCCUUGUGCGUAACCACAAACAUUGGCUUCUCAGCAGGACCUUCAACGACCUUGAAUGGCCAAUGCUUCAUAUCAUUUUUAACGCAUUCAUCACUGAACCUCCUACCAAUUAACCUUUUUGCUUC